rnacentral:rRNA from 1 species
CGCAUCUGUGCAUGCAGCAUAUCAAUAAGCGGAGGAAAAGAAACUAACAAGGAUUCCCCUAGUAACGGCGAGUGAAGCGGGAAGAGCUCAAAUUUGAAAUCUUAAAGGGUUUCCCUUUACGAAUUGUAGUUUAAAGAAGUGUUUUCUGUUGAGGUUUUGGUAAAAGUUCUUUGGAAUAGGACAUCAUAGAGGGUGAGAAUCCCGUAUUUGACCUUUACUUUCAACUUUGUGAUACACUUUCAAAGAGUCGGAUUGUUUGGGAAUGCAGUCCAAAAUGGGUGGUAAAUUUCAUCUAAAGCUAAAUAUUGGCGAGAGACCGAUAGCGAACAAGUACCGUGAGGGAAAGAUGAAAAGAACUUUGAAAAGAGAGUUAAACAGUACGUGAAAUUGUCAAAAGGGAAGCGUUUGACACCAGUGUUGUUUUUCUGAAAAUCAAUUAAAGAACUGUUUAUGCUAAGCUGUUUAGACUUUAUCAGCUAUCUGCUUAGUUUUGAGCUUUUCUUUAAUGCACUUUUCAGUUAACAAGUCAACAUCAAUUUCUUUUGCUGUAAAAAAGCUUGAGGAAGGUGGCUUGAGAUUCGUCUUAAGUGUUUAUAGCCUCUUGCCUAUGCAGUCGGAGAGAUUGAGGUCUGCAGCGUAGAUCCUUCGGGGCUAAAUGCAUUUGUGCUAAGUUAUAGCAUUUUAUAGACAACUUGUUGACUAUGAUUUGUCUUGUAGCUUACUCGCUUAUGUUAUUUUACCUACGCUUAGGAUGUUGAGUCAUCACACAUCUCU